rnacentral:rRNA from 1 species
GACGUAGGGCGCGAGCGUUGUCCGGAUUUAUUGGGCGUAAAGAGCUCGUAGGCGGCUUGUUGCGUCAGCUGUGAAAACCCGCAGCUCAACUGUGGGCUUGCAGCUGAUACGGGCAGGCUUGAGUUCGGUAGGGGAGACUGGAAUUCCUGGUGUAGCGGUGAAAUGCGCAGAUAUCUGGAGGAACACCGGUGGCGAAGGCGGCAUCCUGGACCGGCAUUGACGCUGAGGAGCGAAAGCCAGGGGAGCAAAGCGGG